rnacentral:rRNA from 1 species
GACGAACGCUGGCGGCGUGCUUAACACAUGCAAGUCGAACGGAAAGGCCUGCUUUCCCUUGUGGAUUGCGGGUACUCGAGUGGCGAACGGGUGAGUAACACGUGAGUGAUCUGCCCCCAACUUGGGUAUAAGCCUGGGAAACUGGGUCUAAAUCCCGAUAGGACUGCAGGGUGGUGCCUGUGGUGGAAAACGAUUUUCUAGUGGUUGGGGAUGAGCUCGCGGCCUAUCAGCUUGUUGGUGGGGUAAUGGCCUACCAAGGCGGCGACGGGUAGCCGGCCUGAGAGGGUGGACGGCCACAUUGGGACUGAGAUACGGCCCAGACUCCUACGGGAGGCAGCAGUGGGGAAUAUUGCACAAUGGGCGGAAGCCUGAUGCAGCGACGCCGCGUGGGGGAUGACGGCCUUCGGGUUGUAAACUCCUUUCGACCGCGAGGAAGCCACCUGGUUGGAAGGGUGGUGACGGUAGUGGUAGAAGAAGCACCGGCUAACUACGUG